GACAGUCACACUGUCAUCUUUCCAUAUCUUGUAUGUGGUCCUUUCCUCCUCAGAAGCAUCUUUCCCAAAAGAAUCUAAAGCAGGUGUAUCCAGAAUGUGGGAGACUUUCUUCUGAGUGAGAACAAUUCUCAAGUUCCUUAACCAGUCGACAUAGUUGGAUCCAGUCAACUUGUUAGUAUCUAGGAUACCUCUAAGGGAC
rnacentral:lncRNA from 1 species